CCAUCUUUGCACAGAAUUUUUCCUUCCACGUGCAACGACGAAAUUCGUUCAUUUCAUUUCAAGACUCAAAAUGUGAACAACAUUGGAAACCCUAAGCAUUUGGCUAAAUCAAGAUCUGUGCAUUCCACGUGCAUGUGAGACACCUUGGGACAAGAUGUGAGCCCAUUGAGACACCUCGGGGCAACAUGUGAGCCCGUUGAGACACCUUGGGCCAUUAGAGCUCUGGAACACCAUUUCCGCAUUGGAGAUACUACAUUCCGGUUUGAGGUUAUGUAGGGUCCAGCUGCAGCAAGCACAUGGAUAUCACCCAUAAAGAUCAACUCAGCAAUAUGGUGUUAACGGACGCCAAGAAUAACUAAGUGAGCUCGUUCAUUCGACUGCAUUUAUACGAAUGCCGUUGACAGACUUGCAAGGAAUAAUUGGAAGUUUUCAAAUACACAAAAGCUAAUAAAUCAAAUCGAAAAUUA